AAGAUGACAGUUGUUAAAGAUUUAUCGCUUGAAGAGGAGCUUGCGGCAGAUUAGCUAGUUGGUAAGGUAAUGGCUUACCAAGGCAACGAUCUGUAUCCGGUCUAAGAGGACGGUCGGACACACUGACACUGAAUAACGGGUCAGACUCCUACGGGAGGCAGCAGUCGGGAAUUUUGGGCAAUGGGCGAAAGCCUGACCCAGCAACGCCGCGUGAAGGAUGAAGUUUUUCGGAAUGUAAACUUCGUAAGAAUAGGAAGAAUAAAUGACGGUACUAUUUGUAAGGUCCGGCUAACUACGUGCCAGCAGCCGCGGUAAUACGUAGGGACCAAGCGUUGUUCGGAUUUACUGGGCGUAAAGGGCGCGUAGGCGGCAAUUCAAGUCAGCUGUGAAAUCUCCGGGCUUAACUCGGAACGGUCAGCUGAUACUGCUUUGCUAGAGUGCAGAAGGGGCAAUCGGAAUUCUUGGUGUAGCGGUGAAAUGCGUAGAUAUCAAGAGGAACACCUGAGGUGAAGACGGGUUGCUGGGCUGACACUGACGCUGAGGCGCGAAAGCUAGGGUAGCAAACGGGAUUAGAUACCCCGGUAGUCCUAGCCCUAAACGAUGAAUACUUGGUGUCUGGAGUUUUUAUCCUCCGGGUGCCGUCGCUAACGUUUUAAGUAUUCCGCCUGGGGAGUACGCACGCAAGUGUGAAACUCAAAGGAAUUGACGGGG
rnacentral:rRNA from 1 species